GGUGAGUUAGGUAGGAAAUGACCACCUGAAAAAAAUUCUAAAAAUCGUUGUGGAUUGUAAAACUUUUAGAUAAUCUGCUUACGCGAUCUUUGUUCUUUCACACUUUAUUGACUGCAAAGACCCCUACCCAGGUGUUUUCUCUGCUUUGCUUCUCAUUUCAAAAGGAUAUGGCUUAUGGAAAGUAAGUUCCAUUUGCAGAAGGGGAAAAGGAGGAUUUUUGUUUCUUUUCAUUGCAGGUCAGAACUACAUGAAUAGUGACACCUUAACAAGCUGAGUAAUCAAUCUUCAACAGUGGGGUAUUUUUUGUGGACCCAGAGGAUUUAAUUGGACAGGAGCAUUUUAUAAAGACCAAGAAGUUUCUGACAAUAAUAACAACUACCCAUUGACAUUUAUACAGUACUCUGUAGUUGAUAAAGUAUUUUCACAAGUUUCAUGUAGAUUCAUCUCCAGCAUUUAAUGUACUUUAAAAAAGCAACAGCUGACACUCACUGAGUCUUGCUAUAUGUUGGGCAGUUACAUUUAACCCAUUAAAUGAAGCAGUUUAUUAAUCUCCCAAGACAUCCUUAUGUUUUCUCCAUUUUAUAGAUGAGAAAACUGAGGCUCAAAGAAAUUAAAUGACUUCCCCCAAUCAGUCAUUCACACCCACAUGGCCUGCAAAUGGCUGUAGUUGAAUUACUGCCUAAGAGGCUAAUCCUCACCUUGGUAUUUGCAUUGUCUUGAUGGGGUGAGGAGUGAGUUGUCUCUUUCCUUACCUUAUUAAGUGUUCUGUGAAUUCUCACUUCUGCAGGGUCCUAGGUAUUCUAUGGGAAAAAAGGAGGCUUCUGCCUCAGCUAUAGAUCUGAUGAAGGAGAUUGGAUGCAAACAGAGAUUUCAGAGAGGGAAGGCUCAUGGCAUGAAUGAAAUGUGUCUGAAAAUGCUGCCUAACAUUCUUCACAGCAUCAUGCAGGUGGAAAGAUGGGAGAGGAAGAGGCAGGGGUGGGGUAAAGGCUGUGGGAGGAGGUUAGCUAUUUGCUACUGCAUGUUUUUAUAUCUGCUGAAAAUGCAUGAUUACACAGCAUGCUGAUUUAAAUUUGCUUUAGCACCAGAGACAAAAUUCUCAGAAGUAGGAUUAUCAACUGUUCUAUUUAUUAAAUAUCAAGCAAGCUGUGGCUGAAAAUGUUUAAACUAAAACUUAGACUCUUUGAAGGAAACCAAGCUGAACUAUCAUUGCUCAAGGGACCGUGUGCAUUUUCUCAUUAUUGCCAGUGUACUUCGUCAGCAUGAGUGACACCCCUCUUUCCUCUGGCCUUCCGCUCCACUGGCUUGUGGCUAUUAUCCAUUCUCAAGGUGAAGCUAUGAAUAAGCGUAUUGCCAUUUGGAAACCUGAGAGUGUGAGAAUCUUUCCCUUUUGCUCCUAAAUCUGAAUAAUGUUCACAAGCAAUCCAAGCCCGUCUUUCACCUAUGAAGUCAAUAUAGUUCUCAUGCUUUUAUUUGUUUCACCUUUCUGGGCCUCUGUUUUCUCAUCUAUUAAAUGGAGAAACUAGAUAGUUUUGUUUCCUUCUAGUCCUAAUAUCCUAUCGCAUCUAUGAUGGGACUAUCUUGGGAAGAGGACAAAAAGAGAUCAUUAAUGGGGUGCCUCAUUUUAAGUAUAAAAAGUAUGUGUCUAGAAAACUGUAUUUUGAACAUGCCGAAAAUGGUUUUUGAAAGAAAUUUUUAGUGACUUGCUUUGGAAAGUUCUUUUCUCCAACCUCACCUAAUUUGAUGUGCUUUGAUAGCUUGUCUUAAAAUAACCACUUAUCUGAAGUUUUCUGUCUAUAAGACAUAUACUUGUUUUGCCAUGUGCUUGUUAAAUGAUAAAAGCAUCAAUAAAAUUAUUCAUCUCUAUGGUGUUGUGUGGAAAUCAUCUGAAGAGAGUUAAACAUACUAUAUCUGACUCUGGGAGCAUGUCUGAUGUAGCAGUUGCAUGUACAGAUAAAGGGAAAAAAACAAGUUCUUAAAUAUAAUACUUAAAUUGAGUUAUAAGAAACAGCAAAUGGGUGAUUCUGUGUGAAUUCUUAUGUAGUGUAAGGGAAGAGGUGUCAUCACCUAUAGUAAAUCAAAGAGCACAACAUGAAAGACAUCAGAAUUUAUGAACCACAAGGGGAAAGAGUGAAGCCUCAUCUAUUUGGGAAGAAGAAGAUGGGCAUCUGAUAACAUCUGGAGGACUUGAAGAAAGAUGUGGCCUUAAUUCAUUUUGAAGAAGAUCUAACUCAUUUUGAGGAAGAUCUAGUUAUUACUAUAUUUGAAUGGUGAUAGGCAGAAUAAUAGUAUUUCCAAAGAUGUCCAUACCCUAAUUCCUGGAACCUGAGAAUAUGUUACCUUACAUGGCAACAGAGACUUAUGCAGAUGUAAUUAAGGCUAAGGACAUAGAGAUGGGGAGAUCAUUUCAGUUUAUCUGGAUAACUGAGCUAAUCUUCUGGAGUGGCUUUACAAAAGCUCCUGAAAGAGGCACUACACAUAGAAAGGCAUAACCAGUACCAGCCACUCCAGAAACAUACUAAAUGAUGAAGAGCAUCAACAAAAUGAAGAAUCUGCAUCAACUAAUGAGCAAAACAGCCAGCUAGCAUCAAAAUGACAGGAUAAAAUUCCCACAUAACAAUAUUAACCCUAAAUGUAACUGGGCUAAAUGCACCAAUCAAAAGACACAGACUGCCAAAUUGGAUAAAAAGCCAAAACACACCGGUGUGCUGUAUCCAGGAAAUCCAUCUCACAUGCAAGGAUACACAAAGGCUCAAAAUAAAGGGAUGGAGGAAGAUUUAACAAGGAAAUGCAGAGCAAAAAAAAAAAAACGCAGGAGUUGCAAUUCUCGUCUCUGAUAAAAUAGACUUUAAAGCAACAAAGAUCAAAAGAGACGAAGAAGGACAUUACAUAAUGGUAAAAGGAUUGAUACAACAAGAAGAGCUAACGAUUCUAAAUAUAUAUGGACCCAAUACAGGAGUACCCAGAUACAUAAGGCAAGUCUAAUCACAUGAAUCAGUCUAAUCACAUGAAUCUAAUCUCUGGACCUCAGAGAUUAGAAAUCAGAGAACUUUUCUGAGCUGUGAUCAGAGAAAAACAUAUGAUCACAAAAUAAUCGUCAGGGUGAUGUGAUAAUGCUCGCUUUCAAUAUGCAGGAAGUGGGGCUGGGCACAGUAGCUCACACCUGUAAUCUUGGCAUUUUGGAAGGCUGAGGCAUGAGGAUCACUUGAGGCCAGGAGUUCAACACCACUGGCCUGGGUAACAUGGCAAGCCUUUGUCUCCACUAAAAAUUUAAAAAUUAGGUGGUUCACAUCUGUAAUUCCAGCACUUUGGAGGCUGAGGUGAGAGGGUCACCUGAGGUCAGGAGUUCGAGACCAGCCUGACCCAUCUCUACUAAAAAAUUCAAAAAUUAGCUGGGUGUGGUGGCACAUGCCUGUAAUCUCAGCUACUCUGGAGACUGAGGCAAGAGAAUUGCUCGAACUCAGGAGGUGCAGGUUGUGGUAAGCCCAGAGUGCACCAUCACACUCCAGCCUGGGCAACAAGAGUAAAACUCCAUCUCAAAAAAACAACAAAAAAAAAAUUAAAAAAUUAGCUGGUGUGGCGGUGCAUGCCUGUAGUCCUAUCUCCGUGGGAGGAUCACUUAAGCCCAGGAGUUCAAGUUUGCAGUGAGCUGUGAUUGCACCACUGUACUCCAGUCUGGGUGACAGAGAGAGACCCUGUCUUAAAAAGAGAAAAGAUGCAGGAAGGGGCCACCAGCCAAGGGAUGCUGGCAGCUUUUAGAAGCUAGACAAGGCAAGGAAACAGAUUUUUCCCUGAAGCCUCCAUAAAGAAAUACAGCCCUGUCAACGACUUGAUUUUAGUUCAUAAGAUGUGUACUGGAUUUCCAACCUAGGGAAGUAUAAUAUAGUAAGUUUAUGUUGUUGCAAGCAAUUAAAUUUUCAUAAUUUGCUACAGCAGCAACAGAAAACACAUAUUGAUGUUUGUAUUCUCAUAAAUAAAACUCUGAUAUUUCAGUGUGAAAUGACUUUCCAAAAAAAAUCUAGAUUUCAUUCUCAAAACCCUUAUGCUUCAGUGAGAAAGUGUUCAUGCCUUGCAAUGCUGAAACCAGAUCAAAAUAAAAAUUGGAUGUUUCUUUGAUUUCUCUGACUACCUAUGAUCUUCCCUUGACUCAUGCUAACUAACCCUGAACUCCUCUUAUCCUUCCUUGGCCCUUCCAUUGCUAAGCUACCCUAAAAGACCUUCAGUUUGUACUUUGCCAGCUGAAUUAUUUUUGCUAAGUAUUUCAGAUAUUUUUAUGUCGGGCAAGAUCUAAUCUUUCCUUGAGAAUUCCUGCUUUAAUUUAUUGUGCUUAUUAAAAAUAUAUUUGAAUGACCUCAAUUUGUCGGGUCCUUGUUCUUGCUUUUACACCUUAGAUGAAUUUGAAUACUACUUUGCUUUGGAAUAUAAUCUUAGACCGGGGACAGUUUAACUUUUAGAAUAAAAAUUAUAUUCAUUCUGACAUUAUACCAC
rnacentral:lncRNA from 1 species